rnacentral:rRNA from 1 species
GAUGAACGCUGGCUGCUUUCCUCCUCCCUUCACGUCGCGCGCCCGGACGAGAAGCUUGCUUCUCUGCUGUUAGCGGCGGACGGGUGAGUAACACGUGGAUACCCUCCCUAUAAGACUGGGAUAACUUCGGGAAACCGGAGCUAAUACCGGAUAAUAUUUUGAACCGCAUGGUUCAAAAGUGAAAGACGGUCUUGCUGUCACUUAUAGAUGGAUCCGCGCUGCCUUAGCUAGUUGGUAAGGUAACGGCUUACCAAGGCAACGAUGCAUAGCCGACCUGAGAGGGGGAGAGGCCACACGGGAACGGAGACACGGUCCAGACUCCGACGGGAGGCAGCAGUAGGGAAUCGUCCGCAAGGGGAGAAAGCCUGACGGAGCAACGCAGCGUGAGUGAUGAAGGUCUUCGGAUCGUAAAAAGAGGGGAUGAGGGAAGAACAUAUGUGGAAGGAACUGGGCACAUCUUGACGGUACCUAAUCAGAAAGCCAAGGCGAAAGACGGG